AUUGAACGCUGGCGGCAGGCCUAACACAUGCAAGUCGAACGAGUGGCGGAUGGGUGAGUAAUGUCUGGGAAACUGCCUGAUGGAGGGGGAUAACUACUGGAAACGGUAGCUAAUACCGCAUACCAUCAGAUGUGCCCAGAUGGGAUUAGCUGGUUGGUGGGGUAACGGCUAACCAGGGCGACGAACCCUAGCUGGUCUGAGAGGAUGACAGGCCACACGGGAACUGGGACACGGUCCGUGCUCCUACGGGAGGCCGCAGUGGGGAAUAGUGCACAAUGGGCGCAAGCCUGAUGCAGUCAUGCCGCGUGUAUGAAGAAGGCCUUCGGGUUGGAAAGUACUUUCAGCGGGGAGGCGGUACCCGCAGAAGAAGCACCGGCUAACUCCGUGCCAGCAGCCGCGGUAAUAC
rnacentral:rRNA from 1 species